GUAGGUGGCAAGCGUUGUCCGGAAUUAUUGGGGCGUAAAGCGCGCGCAGGCGGUUUUUUAAGUCUGAUGUGAAAGCCCACGGCUCAACCGUGGGAGGGGUCAUUGGAAACUGGAGAACUUGAGUGCAGAAGAGGAGAGCGGAAUUCCACGUGUAGCGGUGAAAUGCGUAGAGAUGUGGAGGGAACACCAGUGGCGAAGGCGGCUCUCUGGUCUGUAACUGACGCUGAGGCGCGAAAGCGUGGGGAGCAAACAGGAUUAGAUACCCUGGUAGUCCACGCCGUAAACGAUGAGUGCUAAGUGUUAGAGGGUUUCCGCCCUUUAGUGCUGCAGCAAACGCAUUAAGCACUCCGCCUGGGGAGUACGGUCGCAAAGACUG
rnacentral:rRNA from 1 species